ACAAGGGGCGGGGCUGGGGCGUCCCCGUGGUACGGCCCCACCGGCCGUAAACACCGGGGACGCGCGCCGACAGGCGGAGAGCCAGCUUCUGCCUUAAAGAUCACCCGAGAGCUGAGAAACGUGUUGCCAAAAGAAAUUGCAUAAAAAUAUUCGCACUAGUGAGCUCUGGGUGGCGGGGUGAUUGUGAGCAGUUUUUACGGGCUACCGUGGCUCCUGUUUUUCACAAAGUAUUAACAGGGACUACGUCGGGUCAAAAUUACUUCUGGUCAGCCGCGGGCCCCAGGUCCCAGGGUUGAGCAAGUCCGGUCUGCGGCAACACGAGGCUCUCCCGUGACGGGGCCUCGCCCAAGGCUCCCCCAGCAGAUCUCCUGGGAUUCAGAACUACCAAAUCGCCGGCAGACAGGUCUCCAUCAGAGGAAGCCUGUGACAGCCGCCAGGAUAAAAUAAAAAGGACAAUGGCAAGUGAUAGCAAAGACGUAGAGAAGCUGGAAUUCUCCUAAAUCCUUGGUAGGAGUGUAAAAUGGUGCAGCUUCUUCUAUAAUUCAACAUCCCCUACCAUACUCCCAGGAACCCACCCAAGAGAAAUACGACCAGAGAGACUUGCAUGCAAACAUUCCUAACAGCAUUGUUCACGCCAACCAGAACGUCCACCAACCGCGGAUGCAUGAGCAGCAGGGAAACGGCCAUGAAAAGAAACUGCUGAGACAUGGGCCUACGUGGAUGAACCUCAAAAACGCUAGGCCAGGUGAAAGAUGCCAGACAAGAAAAUUCCAUUAUUCCAUUUAUGUGACACUUCUUAAAAAGGUAAAUCUCUAGAGAGAAAGCAAAUUCAUGUUUGCCUGGGGGUGAGAGUGGGAUCAACUGCAAACAGGCACGAAGGAACUUUUUUGGGUGAUGAAAAAUAAAACUUUGGAUGUCGAACAUAUUUUAAAACUAGAUUGCAAUGAUAGUUGCAUAACUGUAUACAUUUAUUAAAAUCGUGGAACACUUACAAUGAGUGGAUCUCAUGGUAUAUUAUUUAUACCUCAAGCCAUUUUUAAAAAUAGGAUAAAAGGGAAAGAGGCUGAUUCUGGCUGAAAGGAUUAGCGAACGCCUUGUUAAGACAAUUAUCCAAAAUUUGAAAAUAAGGCAAAAGCAGGAGUAGGGGUUAUUCUUUCAAUUAAUUCCUGGGCACUUUUAGCAUGGCUGCCUAAAGAUUAUUUAACUAUCUAGGACACUGUCCCUGUGCUAUUUAUUACUCCAUUCAAGCCCAAAUACUGUAAAGUUACAUAUUAACUUGUAGAUAAUGUCCAAAAGAAAAGAUAACCCCAAAGAUUAUGUUUUAUUGUGACCAGUUUGUUUGUUCAUUGAAAUCUAACCUAGCCAUCUUACUCUAGUUCUUUUUGGGUUUUAUGCAUAUAUGUGUGUACAAACACACACACACCCCUAAUUCCUCAAAUGCUCUUGGCAUAAGUUUUAUCUCUUACUGGUCUCCUCAAGGCGUAAAAUAAAUCUUUGACCUUGAUCAUUUUAAGUUUAAAAAAGGUAAAAGUCGUGAGAAAAAGGAGUGUUUUAUAUGAAAAGAAUAAAGGGACAUAUAAUUAAGGCAAUACACAAACCUGACUGGAUCCUGGUUCAAAAAGAACAGCUUGAUACAACUGAGGAAAUUAGAACAUGCUCUGGGUAUCAGAUGCUACUAUGGAAUUCCCCAUCAUUCUCCUGGGUGUGGUAACAGUCAUGGUUAUGUAGGAGAAUGUCUUUACUCUUAAGAGCUGUGUGCUGAAGUAUUUAGCAGUAAGAUGUCAUAAUACUGCAAAUGGUUCAAUUUUUUAAAAAAUAGAGGCACAAUAAAGUAAAUAUGGCAAAAUGUCAACAGCCGCUCCAUCUAAGUGGGGCACAUUGACACAUUAAAUUGCCCAGGCGAGGGCAAAAGCAUUCAAAAGCUCCCAGGGGCUUUUCUCUCGGUCUUUCUGGGAAGCGGCAUCAAUUAAGCUGCACCAUCUCUUCGGCGUUCACAAUCGUACACAACGGGCCACCCUCCUGCAGACACCACUGCCGAGUCCAAGGUCAGCCAGAAACCAGACUUAGAACACAGACAGUCCCCUCCUUACAAUCACAGGCUACUACAGCUUCAAGUUAUGUGUUUAACAAGCUUCCUAAGCAUACCAGAGAGAAGGUGCUCAAAGAACUCAGUCUGCAAUUACAUCAUGUCAAUGCAAUUGUGUGGACGAAAUUUACACAUACAUAAUUUGUCUCAGAGAAAGGCCUGGGAAGGCAGACAUGAAACCAUCAGAGACUCCUGUGACGGGGCUGUGAAGUCUCAGGAGGGAAAGGAUUUUCCUGUCUUGCAUCUAUCAUUUGAGUAUUUGAUAAGUAUUUUUUCAUAAAUUGUAUGUAAAAUUUGAAAAAUAAUUUUCAAGCUAAUUCAGAUGGCAUCAAAAAUCGAUUUCACCAACUGCUAUUUCCAAGCCACACCGAAUUAUUACUGCAGCAAGGUUGUUUUUUGGGUCUGUUGCUGGCUUUUUUCUAUGCACACAAGACUGAAGGUCUAGCCGUGACAGGAGACCACAAUGAGUCCUGACCGUGCCGAAGCUCCCAUGGGAUGCCAGGAUGCCAGCCACUGCUCCACGACCCCAUGCUUCAUUGUACUUCACCCUCACGAGCAUAGGCAAUGUGAGCACUACCUCUGCAGAGGAUACUGAGGCUCAGAGAGACAAAGACAUGGGCUUAAGUCCACACGACUGACUGUAAAUGACAGAACCAAGGUACACAUUCCGGCUUUCUAAUCCCAAAGCCAGAGUCUUCCCAACCCACCCCAACCCCAUGUUCACAGGCCCGAGACCCCUCUCACCCCAGUACUGUGAAAGGCCCCAGUAAAGACCUGUAAAAGAACAAA